ACACUCAACUGUGACAAUCAAAGUACCCUGGCACUUGCAGAGAAUCCAGUUCACCAUCGACGGACAAAACACAUAGAUGUACGCCACCAUUACAUUCGAGAACAAGUUGAAAACAAACAAAUCAUCCUCAAUUACGUUCCUGAUGAGCAAAUGGUCGCAGAUGUGUUAACAAAGCCAAUUCCUAAUCCAAAGUUAAAAUUCUGUGCUAAUGGCUUCGGUCUCAAAGUGUAAAAAUCUAAUUUCAAUUUUUUCCUCAAAUGAAUUUCUUCCAUUUUUUUCACAUUGCCAAAUUGAGGAGAAGUGUUUUUAUGUGUUAAAUUUUUAGAAAUCUGUCAUUUCAAUUUUUCCUCAAAUGAAUUUCUUCCAUUUUUUCACAUUGCCAAAUGAGGAGAAGUGUUGAAGUGCAAGUUGGCAAUGCAGUGUAAAACUGUCAUGUUGGUAGUACGAAGUACUAAUCUAACCUAGUCGUGUGAGACUGCGUGCUGUAGCGCAGUCAGGUAUUCUUACGUAAUGUGAUAAUUAAUAAAUCACUGUUCGUUCAUUUUAAAUCACUUCAAUGCCUUCCUUUUUAUCCACUGCUUUAAUUAAGCUACCUCAACAAAUCAAACUCACUAAAUAAGGUUGUUUGUUUUAAUUUCUUGUAGCAUUGAAUGCAGCGCAGAAGGCUUUCCAGGAAAUGGAAGGAGCUAAAAACCUAGCAGAGGACAUGAAAAGAAAGAACUUAGAAAGGGAAAAGGAACUUGAAAGAGAAUGUAAUGACUGUAGAGAAUAUCACUUGCAAAUUCUGAAAGAGACUCAACAAAAAAGUGAGAAGGCCCAGGCGCAGCUAGCUGAAGAGAAAAAAGAGUUGGAUGCACUAAGUGAAGAACUCGAGAGCUGGCAAACAAAGACUGCACAGUUAAAAAUUCGUGCCCAAGAAAAACAAAAUGAGUUGGACACUGUAAAGAAGUCCAACAACGAAUGGUUAACUUUACAUAAGGCUAAUAUGAAACAGUUGAACAAAGAACUAGAGGUGGCUGACGUCUCGAUCAAAGAAAAAGAGGAAUCGUUGGAGAAACUACUGAAAGAGAUGGCUGCUCUGAGGGCAAGAGCAGGAGCAGCUCAGCAAGAAGAAACCUGUCUCAGGAAGAAACUUGCAGAAGAAAAGACCAUUAUCGCUAAUUUGCGACAACUGAAUUCAGAUGCUGAUUCACAUAGAACUGAUUUAACCAAGAAAAUCACAACUUCAGAAUGUGAAUCCAAAAAUCUCAAUAUCAAGAUAAAUUCUCUUAAGAAUGAAGUAGGGAGUGUAGAAAAAAAGACAAUUUCUGUUAAAGAGAAAAUUGUGCUAGAAGAUCGCAGCUUUGAAGAGAUGUUGGCCAAUCUGGAUGCUUCCAUAAUUGAAGAAACUAAAAAAAUGCCAUUGCUGCUGAUAGAGAAAGACUCAACAAAAUUGCGGAUCUCACCAAUUUCGCUGUUACGAAAGAUAGCCUUGCAGAAUCUCUCGAAAAUGAACUCGAAAAAGAAAAUGAAGAAAAUGAGAAAUUAAAACAGGAAUUAGUGGAUCUUGUGCAUGAAGAACUUGAAGAAGCUGAAUGCUUUGAGAGUGCCAUCAAUAAAAUAAAAUCUGAAUCGGAUAAAAA
rnacentral:lncRNA from 1 species